GAUGAACGCUGGCGGCGUGCCUAAUACAUGCAAGUCGAGCGAACGGACGAGAAGCUUGCUUCUCUGAUGUUAGCGGCGGACGGGUGAGUAACACGUGGAUAACCUACCUAUAAGACUGGGAUAACUUCGGGAAGCCGGAGCUAAUACCGGAUAAUAUUUUGAACCGCAUGGUUCAAAAGUGAAAGACGGUCUUGCUGUCACUUAUAGAUGGAUCCGCGCUGCAUUAGCUAGUUGGUAAGGUAACGGCUUACCAAGGCAACGAUGCAUAGCCGACCUGAGAGGGUGAUCGGCCACACUGGAACCGAGACACGGUCCAGACUCCUACGGGAGGCAGCAGUAGGGAAUCUUCCGCAAUGGGCGAAAGCCUGACGGAGCAACGCCGCGUGAGUGAUGAAGGUCUUCGGAUCGUAAAACUCUGUUAUUAGGGAAGAACAUAUGUGUAAGUAACUGUGCACAUCUUGACGGUACCUAAUCAGAAAGCCACGGCUAACUACGUG
rnacentral:rRNA from 1 species